GCAUAUCAAUAAGCGGAGGAAAAGAAAAUAACAAUGAUUCCCCUACUAACUGCGAGUGAAGAGGGACAAGCUCAAAUUUUAAAUCUGUCAGGUUCUACCUGACCGAGUUGUAAUUUGAAGAUGGCGUUUUCUGUGUUUCUGAUCGGUCCAAGUCCUUUGGGAUAAGGCAUCAUGGAGGGUGAGAAUCCCGUUCGGUUGAUCAGAUUCGCUUUAUGAUACGUUGUCAAAGAGUCAAGUUGUUUGGGAUUGCAGCUUAAAAUGGGAGGUAAAUUUCUCCUAAGGCUAAAUAACGGCGAGAGACCGAUAGCGAACAAGUACCGUGAGGGAAAGAUGAAAAGAACUUUGAAAAGAGAGUUAAACAGUACGUGAAAUUGUUGAAAGGGAAACGAUUGAAGCCAGUCGUACCUAUGGGUAAUCAGCCUUUUGGGUGUGAUUUUGUGGAGAAUGAAGAGUUAAACGCCUUCAUUCCUGCAUAUUCGUGCACUUUGGGUGUAUUUGCCCGUGUGUAAGUUAACAUCAAUUUUGGUUGUCAUAAAAUGAUUGGAGGAAUGUAGCUUCGAUCUCGUAUUGAAGUGUUAUAGCCUUUGGUAGAUGUGACGAUCGGGAUUGAGGAUUGCAACGGAUACCCUUCGGGGCUACCUGUCUGAUCUCUGAUUGUUGCUCUGGUGCCGAAAGCUUGCUUACGGUUAUCAAAGUCGAUGGUCAAUAGGUUAGAACGGGUUAAAUUCGUUAAGGAUGUUGACGUA
rnacentral:rRNA from 1 species